rnacentral:sRNA from 1 species
GCCAGGAGGGGUGGCUCAUGCCUGUAAUCCCAGUGAUUUGGGAGGCUGAGGCAGGAGGAUGGCAAGUUGGAGGCCAGCCUCAGCAAUUUAGCAAGACCCUGUCUCAA